UGGGGAAUAUUGCACAAUGGAGGGAACUCUGAUGCAGCGACGCCGCGUGAGUGAUGAAGGAAUUCGUUUCGUAAAACUCUGUUCUAUGGGAAGAAAAGGACUGUACCAUAGGAGAAAGCUCCGGCUAAAUACGUGCCAGCAGCCGCGGUAAUACGUAUGGAGCGAGCGUUGUCCGGAAUUAUUGGGCGUAAAGGGUGCGCAGGCGGCUUUACAAGUUGGAUGUGAAAUAUUGUGGCUCAACCACAAACGUGCAUCCAAAACUGCAAAGCUUGGGUUAAAGAGAGGUAAGUGGAAUUCCUGGUGUAGCGGUGGAAUGCGUAGAUAUCAGGAGGAAUACCGGUGGCGGAGGCGACUUACUGGACUUAAACUGACGCUCAGGGACGAAAGCGUGGGGAGCAAACAGG
rnacentral:rRNA from 1 species